rnacentral:rRNA from 1 species
GACGAACCGUGCGAACGUUGUUCGGAAUCACUGGGCUUAAAGGGCGCGUAGGCGGGCCGUCAAGUCGAGGGUGAAAUCCCCCAGCUCAACUGGGGAAGUGCCUCCGAUACUGGCGGCCUCGAGGGGGAUCGGGGCAUGCGGAACUUCCGGUGGAGCGGUGAAAUGCGUAGAUAUCGGAAGGAACACCGGUGGCGAAAGCGCUCUGCUAGGCCGCAACUGACACUGAGGGACGAAAGCUAGGGGAGCGAAUGGG